rnacentral:tRNA from 2 species
GGGGCUUAGCUCAGUUGGUUAGAGCACCUGCCUUACAAGCAGGGGGUCACAGGUCCGAGUCCUGUAGUCCCC